CAUUUUCAGCAAAAAACCAUGCAGAACGAUCUCUCAAUUGAUUGGAUGAGAAGGCCAAAAAUGAGUACCUUCGACCACAUAAAUAAAAUCCAUCCGUCAGAAUACCCUUCACCCUUUUGAAGACUCUUGUCUUCUGAGAGAAAGAGUUAGAAGUGAUGUCUCUCACUAUAGGAGCAACAUAAUAAGUGAGGGUGUUUGCAUUGAUCGUCUGCAAGCCUUCAUCCAUGAAGGUAACUCUUAGAAAUCGAUCAGCAAUAUCUUUAUAUUUUCUCAAAACUCUAUUGGA
rnacentral:misc_RNA from 1 species